rnacentral:rRNA from 1 species
GACGAACGCUGGCGGCGUGCUUAACACAUGCAAGUCGAACGAAAAUACCAAGCUUGCUUGGUUGAUUAGUGGCGAACGGGUGAGUAACACGUGAGUAACCUGCCCCUUACUUUCCUGGAUAACUGCUCGAAAGGGUAGCUAAUACGGGAUAUUCUGACCAUCCUGCAUGGGUUGGUUUGGAAAGGUUGUUUUUCUGGUAAGGGAUGGGCUCGCGGCCUAUCAGCUUGUUGGUGGGGUGAUGGCCUACCAAGGCUUUGACGGGUAGCCGGCCUGAGAGGGUGGACGGUCACACUGGGACUGAGAUACGGCCCAGACUCCUACGGGAGGCAGCAGUGGGGAAUAUUGCACAAUGGGCGCAAGCCUGAUGCAGCGACGCCGCGUGAGGGAUGAAGGCCUUCGGGUUGUAAACCUCUUUCGUCAGGGAACAAGGCGCCGUCUUUUGGUGGUGUUGAGGGUACCUGGAUAAGAAGCGCCGGCUAACUACGUGCCAGCAGCCGCGGUAAUACGUAGGGCGCAAGCGUUGUCCGGAAUUAUUGGGCGUAAAGAGCUCGUAGGCGGCUGGUCGCGUCUGUCGUGAAAACUUCCGGCUCAACCGGGGGCUUGCGGUGGGUACGGGCCGGCUAGAGUGCGGUAGGGGUAACUGGAACUCCUGGUGUAGCGGUGGAAUGCGCAGAUAUCAGGAAGAACACCGAUGGCGAAGGCAGGUUACUGGGCCGUUACUGACGCUGAGGAGCGAAAGCGUGGGGAGCGAACAGG